rnacentral:rRNA from 1 species
AGCAGCCGCGGUAAUUCCAGCUCCAAUAGCGUAUAUUAAAGUUGUUGCAGUUAAAAAGCUCGUAGUUGAAUUUCGGGAUCAACACGUCGGUCGUGCCUUCGGUAUGUACUGGUGUCGUUGAUUUCUCCCUUCUGAUAAACCAUGAUGUCAUUAAUUUGGUGUUGUGGGGAGUCAGGACUGUUACUUUGAAAAAUUGAGUGUUUAAAGCAGGCCUACGCUUGAAUACAUUAGCAUGGAAUAAUGAAAUAGGACGUUCGAACCUAUUUUGUUGGUUUCUAGGAUCAACGUAAUGAUUAAUAGGGAUAGUUGGGGCAUUAGUAUUCAAUUGUCAGAGGUGAAAUUCUUGGAUUUAUGAAGACUAACUACUG